rnacentral:rRNA from 1 species
UACGUAGGGGGCAAGCGUUGUCCGGAAUCAUUGGGCGUAAAGAGCGUGUCGGCGGCUCGGUAAGUCCGCUCUGAAAGCCCGGGGCUCAACCCCGGGAGGCGGGCGGAUACUGUCGGGCUAGAGUCCGGAAGAGGCGAGUGGAAUUCCUGGUGUAGCGGUGAAAUGCGCAGAUAUCAGGAGGAACACCAAUGGCGAAGGCAGCUCGCUGGGACGGUACUGACGCUGAGACGCGAAAGCGUGGGGAGCAAACAGG